rfam:TPA: Bos taurus chromosome 18, whole genome shotgun sequence.
UCCCUGGUGCUUCAGUGGUUACAAGUUGGCACUUUCACUGCAGUGGUCCGGGUUCAAUUCCUGGUGAGGGAA